rnacentral:rRNA from 1 species
UACGAAGGGUGCAAACGUUGCUCGGAAUCAUUGGGCGUAAAGCGCACGUAGGCGGCUUCGCAAGUCGGAUGUGAAAUCCCUCGGCUCAACCGAGGACGUGCAUCCGAAACUGCGAAGCUUGAGUACUGAAGAGGAUCGCGGAAUUCCCGGUGUAGAGGUGAAAUGCGCAGAUAUCAGGAAGAACACCCGUGGCGAAGGCGGCUCUCUGGGACGGUACUGACGCUGAGACGCGAAAGCGUGGGGAGCGAACAGG